UACUUUUUUGUCCAUCUUUUCCAUUCUUGAGUCCAUUUUUCGCCCAUUUCUUUGCUUCUUGCAUUUAUUUUUUCGUCUAUUUUUUCCAUUCUUGCUUUCAUUUUUUCGUCCGUUUCUUUGUUGCUUGUGGUCAUUUUUUCGUCCAUUUCCUUGUUUCUUGCAUCUAUUUUUUCGUCCAUUUUCUUGUUCCUUGCAUCCAUUUUUGCAAGCAUAGCCAUGAUCUGUUUCUCAAGUGCUGCAGUCCUUGGUCUAGUCUGGUUAGGCAUAUAUUCUUCCGAAUUCUUGUGCGAUCUGCCCAGAAGUCGUAAAACCAGUUAUUAAUCUCAAAUCCCACUUCUGACACCAGUGUUAGGAUGAUCUGAUUAAACUCGACUGGAAUGGAUUCAACGUCUCCCAGUGUCUGGAUUACUCUGCCUGCUUCCGACGGUGGUUCCUAUUUAAAGAGCCACGCGGUCCUUCUUGAAACGCCUCCGUUACCGCGACUUCCGCUUCCAGGCUCUUCUUUAGCGAACGCCGUCACCGACGAUGAGUCACCCAUCAUCACCGCACAUACUAGAAAACCCAUAGACGUUGUACCGGGGCGGCGUAUGGCUCUAUUUCGCAACACUAUAUACACAUAAAGUGUUUCUAAAGACAGUUGGAAACAGAGCUAAAUACUUUUAUCACUCAGCGGGAUAUAAAUGCCCCUACCAUAAAUGUUUCAAAGCCCCGCGCCGCACGUCACGAUUACGCUCAACAGCAGGCAGUUAAAGGUUGACCAAGUCUAGUGACCAACGCGCGGAAUUGUAUCUCAUACACUAGAACCAGUGCUGUCCCGGCAAUAGUUUCAUUACAAACUUAUUUUUCAACAUAAUAUAACAUUUCAAGAUCACAAAUCUGUGGUCCUGUGGUUGAAAAAUUAAAAAGGGCAUCAAGUAUUAUUAUUUGAAGUAAUAUAGUAAUAUAGAAGUAGUGUUUUUACUAGCUGUAAACACCCCUAGCGACGCACUGGCUACGACCUUGUGGACCAGAUCAAGGCGUCCCCGCUACUCUCCGUAAAACACACCUUACUUCAACUGGGGGAUUGCAGCGGUGAGAUAAAUUCCCGCGUACUGCUAAGGGAGGGUAUUCUAUGCUAAUGACACUCAUAAAGUGAUUAACUCUAUUUCCAAAUACUUUUAGAAAUACUGUACUGAGAAAGCGCUAUAGACCCUAUCAACGACAUCAAUGGAUUUUCGAAUGUUUGUCUUUGAUUGUUGCAUUUUAAUUGUCAACUAUCAAAUUGACAGUAAUGUGACGAGACGAAAAUUCGGUCAAAGACAAAUCUUCAAAAAUUAAUGGCUGCCUUUAAUAGUGUUUAUUACUGCUCUCUCGGUAUUACCAUUUCAUGACACGAGCUAAACGUUUGUAAGAAUGCUCAAAUAAUAAUAAUAAUAUUAAUAAUCUGUUAUUGGCUAUUAUUAUUCAAUUUUAUAAAAACAAACCUGCAAAUUUCUCGUAGAAUCUCCGAAAAUAUUUCACUUAGCUACUAAUGCUGUAAUCAGCAAAAUGUGGAUCUUUGAAGGUAUUAUCUGCAAAAGGGAAAGCCAGGGGGUUUAGUAACCUCUACAAAAAGAAAAACACAGACAUAUGUUUCACCGUUUCUGGACAGUAGAUAUCAACAUGCUCAGUAUUUCACACAGUGAGAAAAAAUCCUUCAUUUAAGAAUGGUCUUCAUCUCUGAAACACUCUAUUCUAAAUCGACAGCAGAUGACUCAGUACUAUUAAUUUUCGAGGCUAUUCUACUUUCUCUUCUAAGAGGAAUUGAUAUAUGAUGAAUGUGAUGACCACUGUCCGGCGAAAUUAGUGUUUACCCUGGGCAGUCGCCUAGAUAAAUGCGUCGCAGUGUAUCCGCGUGAUGUUGAUCAGUGGCUUUGAACGCAACCAAUCUACUGUGUCAAGAAAAGAAGUAUACCUACACUGAAGCCUCGAUGGAAAUAGCUAAAGUUACGCUGUCAAAUGCCAAGCAUAGGUCAUUGUUUUGUACCUUGGUGAUGAGCUGACUAAAAUGACUUUUCAGAAUUGAACGAAAGUGAAGAAGACGAAAUAUUGAAAGAAAUGAAGAAAAUUUUGAGAUUUGAGGGAACGAUUUGAAGGAAAUACUGAACCAAGAUUUUAGACUUGUAGAGUUGGUAAAUGAAAACAGGUAAUGUGGCAGUAUCGAGGCAAAACCAUUAACGUCUACAUUUUUCCAAAUGUUCGUUUUGAAAGUAUGUUUGACUAAGGACAACUCAAAGGGAACUUACCAAAUUUAUGAGGUUUUUCAUUUUUCUCUUACCCUAUAAGUAGUUGAGGUGAAAAGUUUUUUAGUUAUAGUGUAUGAAUGUCUUAUAUAGAUUUAUCUUUUUUUAUUUGUGCGAUCAUUCGUAGUUUUAAUUAAUAAAGAUGAUAAAAGAUAA